AUUGAACGCUGGCGGCAGGCCUAACUCUUGCAAUUCGAACGAGUGGCGGACGGGUUAGUAAUGUCUGGGAAACUGCCUGAUGUAGGGGGCUAACUACUGGAAACGGUAGCUAAUACCGCAUACCAUCGGAUGUGCCCAGAUGGGAUUAGCUAGUAGGUGGGGUACUGUCUCACCUAGUCGACGAUCCCUAGCUGGUCUGAGAGGAUGACCAGCCACACUGGAACUGAGACACGGUCCAGACUCCUACGGGAGGCAGCAGUGGGGAAUAUUGCACAAGGGGCGCAAGCCUGAUGCAGCCAUGCCGCGUGGAUGAAGAAGGCCUUCGGGUUGUAAAGUACUUUCAGCGGGGAGGCGUUACCCACAGAAGAAGCACCGGCUAAAUCCGGGCCAGCAGCCGCGGUAAUAC
rnacentral:rRNA from 1 species